AAAUAAAUACCAGCUACCAGUACUUCCAUAUAUAAACACACCCACAAUAUUCGCCAUCCAAAAGUGUUAAUAAAAUUUGAAUGUUAAUGCUGAUUAAUCAAACAUAUUGUUAAUACCACGUGCCAAUGUUAUCUUUGAUUAAGGUCAACUCUAUUCACUGAAUAACUUGAAAAAAAAACAAGACGUUGACUACGUCAGCGACUUCCAGAGACAGUUCAUCCGGCUGAGUGGCAACGUAAGGAUGAAUGGCCUGAAAACGCAAACAGAACUCGUUAAAAUAACAACAAUUUCACGCGAGCG